AAGAUGGAAUUGAACCUGUAAAAUUACAUAAUCUAAGGUCAACAUAUGACAACAUUUUAAGGUUCUCAAUGGACGUGGGUAUACUUCCUGAGAAUCCUGUAUAGCUCAGAUCCAGAGUGUGUAGAGAUCCAUUUGAAGGAAAUUCAGGUAAAGAACCCGAAAUUUCAUUUUGUGCUAAAAUUUCAAGUGCUGGAGGGAUCCAUUUGAAGGAAAUUCAGGUAAAGAACCCGAAAUUUCAUUUUGUGCUAAGUUAAUAGUCUGCAGAGUUGAUACUUGGAAUAUCUUCUGAGGCACUUCUCCUAUCAAGUUGCAGGAAUAUAGACUCAAGACAGUCAGAUUGGAGAAGUCCAAAAAGAACUCUGGAAUUGGAGCAGAUAAAUUGUUCACAUCAAUACGGAUAACGGAGAGAAA
rnacentral:lncRNA from 1 species